UGCCAGACUCCUACGGGAGGCAGCAGUGAGGACUAUUGGUCAAUGGCCGAGAGGCUGAACCAGCCAAGUCGCGUGAGGGAAGACGGCCCUACGGGUUGUAAACCUCUUUUGUCGGGGAGCAAAGCGAGUCACGUGUGACUCAUUGAGAGUACCCGAAGAAAAAGCAUCGGCUAACUCCGUGCCAGCAGCCGCGGUAAUACGGAGGAUGCGAGCGUUAUCCGGAUUUAUUGGGUUUAAAGGGUGCGCAGGCGGAAUGUCAAGUCAGCGGUAAAAUUUCGGGGCUCAACCCCGUCGUGCCGUUGAAACUGGCGUUCUUGAGUGAGCGAGAAGUAUGCGGAAUUCGUGGUGUAGCGGUGAAAUGCAUAGAUAUCACGAAGAACCCCGAUUGCGAAGGCAGCAUACCGGCUCCACACUGACGCUGAGGCACGAAAGCGUGGGUAUCGAACAGGAUUAGAUACCCGUGUA
rnacentral:rRNA from 1 species